rnacentral:rRNA from 1 species
CCCGGCUAACUUCGUGCCAGCAGCCGCGGUAAUACUAAGGGGGCUAGCGUUGUUCGGAAUUACUGGGCGUAAAGGGCGCGUAAGCGGUUCGCUAAGUCAGGUGUGAAAUCUCCGGGCUCAACUCGGAGGCUGCCCUCGAAACUGGCGUGCUUGAGUGCGGGAGAGGUGAGUGGAAUUCCCGGUGUAGAGGUGAAAUGCGUAGAUAUUGGGAGGAACACCUGUGGCGAAGGCGGCUCACUGGACCAUUACUGACGCUGAGGCACGAAAGCGUGGGGAGCAAACAGGAUUAGAUACCCUGGUAGUCCACGCCCUAAACGAUG